rnacentral:tRNA from 1 species
GCCUCUAAAAUCUCUAAGAUGAAAAAUUUUGAUUUUUUUAAGAGUCUAUACUCUAGAGACA